AAGACCAGGAUUGUGUACCUUUUCACCAGCUCCUGGUCUAACCGCUUCUCUUUCCUCGGCCCCUCCCCCAGCUAUCUCUUUUAUCUCCUUCCAACCUUCUAGCACCAGACCAAUCAAUGGGCCAAUCAAUGGAGCGAUUAAAAAAGAAAAAGACAAAGGAGGAAACUGAAGAACAGCCUGGGAACUCAUCCACUAUCUGAGCUUACCCAGUGCUGGACUGGACUGUUGUGGUCAGUGAUAACCAGACACACAAGGAAACACGACUCCAUGAGUGAGAACCAGCAAAAACAGACAAUAGAAGCUGAUCUACAAAGACUUUCGAUAUUGAAGUCAUCAGACUACAGACAACAAAUGACUUUUCCUCCUUACGAUGCUUAAACCAUAACGUAAGUUUGAAGAUGUCUUCGGAGAGCAGAAAACAACAAGGAAGAAGUUGCUACAGGACAGCUACCUACCCACUCUUCUUCCUUCUCACUCCUCAGCUCCGUCCCCUAAAGAAGAAAGAAAUUCUGAGCAGCAGAAUUCAAUAUGGAAAGCUCACAACACUCACUUGAAGAGACAUUGUUCUGUCCUCAAUAUGCUUAUUUUCAACAAAGAAUGUCAAACAUAGAACUUCCUUUUGGCCUUUAUUUGUGACUUUAAAAAAUUAUAAUUUGGAAAGUGCCUUUUAUAUGGAAGUAAGAAACACCUGUUGACAAAUUGACUGAAAAACCUUGAAAUCAGACAACAGACAAUAUACCACACCCCUAUUCUGCAAAAAAAAAAAAAAGGAGUAUACAAUCUCACAUUUUUAAAUCGUCAUAGAAAGUAUAAUAUUACAUUUGAUAUGUAAGUGUUAAAAUCUGACAUGUAAGUGGCUAUGAUGUAGGAUAUCAGACUAAAACAUCAGUUAAAAACACGGGCUCUGCCUUAGGCGGACUGGUUGGGUUUCUAGCUCUUCCAUACACAUUUCAUAAUCUUGGGCAAAUUACUUGACUUCUCUGAGCCCCAGUUUGCUCAUCAACAAAAUGGGGAUAAUAAUAGCACUGCACCUGAUUCAAAGGGUUGAAGGAGCCAAAAAACAUCCUGGGUGGCAAAAGCUUUCAGUUUGCUGACACACGAAACGUGCCAUAGUGACUUUGGCUCCUUGGAACCACAUUUCCACCUCCAGGUGAAGUUGACAUUUGCAUUUUCCUUGUAUUUAGGUCCGGGAAGGAUUUAUGUAAAAAGAUUGAUUCCCUAUGUGUCAUUCAUCAGAAAAACUCUUUUACCAUGAACAGGUGAUGAGAUUUGGCUCCUGGGGGCUGGCUCAAGGCUGCUCAGGCUCGGUUACCUACAGGGAACCUUUUCAUAAAGAAAGCCACUUACUGUGGCCUCUAAAAUCAAGGGCAUCUCCUUGUGAAGGUAGAAAUCCAGGGAAGAUAAGAUUGAUAAUCCUGCAUUGCAGAAUUUAUUAAAGAUGUCCAGAUUAAGAA